rnacentral:tRNA from 1 species
UCAGUUAUAGGUUAAGUCUUUUAAACUGCUAAUUUGUGGUGUUAGUGAUUUGUUAUUAUUCAAUAAUUGAA